AAGUUUGGAUUAAGUCAGUUUGAAAUUAUUUUAGUACAAUUGCUAUUUAAUAGAAAUUUGGUUUUGACCGUUUCACCUACUCGAGACCUAGUAUUUUCGUCCCGAACAUCGGUUCGAAAGAGUAGAUGAUGACCAGAAUGGGAUCCUGGUGGGAAGGAAGAGAUUUCACUCAAAGCCCAACAAGUGAGGCGAGUUUCAAUAUAGCAAGGUGCAAUUUGAAAUUUUUUUUAAAAACUAGUCUUGUCUUAGGAGUGGCAACUUAAGUGUUGCUAGGGAGACCACGCAAUGAAAAAGAUACCACACGGAAGUGAUCUUCCUUUAUUGUACUUUGCUUGACGAGACAGCAAAAAAGAGAUCCAAACAGGGAGAUGUGCCGAAAAGCACAGCUUGGACUUAAGGUCUGCAAGUAGAAGAGGUGAUGGGUACUGAGCCAGACGCGUCCCCUUUUUGGUGCUGUCAAAUUCAGUUUUGAGGAAUUUUCACCUAGAAGAAUCCAAGAUCUUCAGUCCAAACAGCAAUUUAUGGGGAGGUAGAUGAUGGGGGGGGAGGAGUGACAGAGGGGUUGUAACUAGCUGAACAUUUCAGAAAGAUCAGUAACAAAAAUGAGAUGUGAUGGUCCUGGGUAGUGUUCUGUGACAAGCAGAAGUUUACGGCUUUUAGGUACAAGAGCAGGUAAAUGUGUUCAGUUUGGGAUUCAACCUUAGUUAAAAACUUGAGGGAACUCGUUUCUUUUUCACUUGAAGGAAUAAGAACAUUUUAGGAAAUUUCCGAUGCAUGACCUAAAGACCUCUCAUCCUUCUUCAGAUAGAGAAUAAAACAUUUCAAAACUAUGUAAUUCUUGGAAAAAAUUUUCCCUUAAAGAUUUAUUUUUUCCUGUUGUUUUUGUUGAUGACAGUAAGUUGCCUGAUGAGAAGCUGACAGAUCACUUCAAAUAAAAGGCACUAUAUUAUAUGCUUUUAAAUAAAAUUCAUAUCUAAAUUCUUUUGCAGAAUUAAAUCAUGCACCUAAUAUAUUCCUUAAUAAUCUAGGUAAAGGUAUAUUUUCCAGGAUUUUAGUAACUACACAAAAAGUCUCUCUCUGCAUGUGAAUUUAUGCCUUAUAAGUGUUUCAAAUUUGGCAGAUUGCCUACAAACUAAAGAUACCAACAGUUUAAAUAAACUUUUAUUUAAUGAAAUAAAGCCAACCUUACACACAAAUGCACAUUACAUACAGAUAAUUUACGAGUUCGAUGAACUUCAAAUAUUAAAAAUAUUUAUUAUAAUGCCUUGCAGAUUUGAAGAUGAAAAAAUUAUUUAACAGAAGUUUCUAAACAUUCUUGGUAACCAACAUAUACAGAACACCUACUAUAUUAUAAGCAUUGAAAAGACAUAGACAUAUUGUAUAUGUUGUCUAUUUCAGGUGAAAUGGACAGAAAUGGGCAUAUGUACCUCAGAAUGAAUAUGUAUGUGUGUAUGAAGCAUAUACAUAUUUUUCAGUUUGGUAGGUUUUUCUUUUUUAAACCCUGAAUAAUUCUAAAUAAGGAAAUAAACUUUAUACUCAAUUAUAGUUAAUCAAACUUCAUUUUGGCUAAUCAUAAUUUGACCAGUGAUUUUUUUUUCCUCAGAGCAUGAAGGACAGUGUUUAAUUUAAAAGUUUAGUGCACCCAAAAUGCUGCUCUUCUUAAGCCACUUUGAAGUAAUGCUAGUGAGUCUACAAUCCAGAGCUACAUGUUAAUCUCUAGUUUUGCCUUCAAACAGAAUUCAGUUACAAAGAACUUGGAAAGAUUUUGAAUCUAUUCAGGAGAGAAAAACUCUUUAAUUUUCUGAGGAGUAAAAACUCCCCAAGAAACUUCAUAUAGCUUCUUAGAUUUUGCUUAGCAUACGUGAUAAAACAUUGAUUGUUGCAGUUUGGUGACCCAUGAAAUUUGGGGGUUAGUUUUCUCUUCAGACCAGAGCAUAUAAUUAUGCAAAUAAAGAGCUGUCACUGAUCUAGUGAAAUACUCACAAACACAUGCACUCUGAAAUUGGACAGAAAAGUGAAAAUGGUUGGUGAUGUGAUGGUGCCAUGGUUUGUUUUCCUGCCAAGUUUCUAUCUAAAUUCAUUAUUCAAGAAGUAAACUUUAAAAAGAGACAUAUCAUU